rnacentral:lncRNA from 1 species
CAGAAGCCAAUGAGAGUACACCCAGUUGAUGUUUGUGACAUCAUCUUCCAGUCGGAGUACAUAGAACAGCUGAGGUAGCGUUCAGUUUCAGCCCCAGUGCCAUUAUGAUGGAUGUUUACAUCUCUUCAUUGAGAGCCAAUUAUCUCGCUUUUGUGUGAGGCCCAAGGAUCACUCAUGCUGCCUGGCUGCACAGAGCACUGUUGGAUCUAGCUGAACGAAUUGUUUUCUGUCUCUGCAUUUCCUCAGUAAGUGGAUCCCUCUGAACCUUCUUCACUACUGACCUCCCAGCAUAAAUCUCCAUUAAAGAAAUGCCUGAGGAAGUGAAGAAGAUAUCUUAAGAAAGUCAUCUUCCACUGAUCUUGCUAUGAGUACACCCAAGAAGAGCUCAUUUUGAGUCAGAAAAAUGUAUCAGUAAUGAAGAGAAAGUGUAGACUGGAGCCAGAGAAGAUGGCCAGCUGCCUUUCCCAUGCGCCGAGCAACAACGACAACAACAACUCAUGCACUUACUGUAGGUUUGCAGAGCUAGGGGCAGAGUUACGGGGUUUGACACUGAGGAAACAAAUUGGAAAGGGUACAUGUUGGGUUAGGGACUCCUAUUUUCUGCCCAC